rnacentral:rRNA from 1 species
UACGUAGGUGGCAAGCGUUGUCCGGAUUUAUUGGGCGUAAAGAGCGCGCAGGCGGUCGAUCAAGUCGCGUGUGAAAGCCCCCGGCUCAACUGGGGAGGGUCACGCGAUACUGAUCGACUCGAAGGCAGGAGAGGGUAGUGGAAUUCCCGGUGUAGUGGUGAAAUGCGUAGAUAUCGGGAGGAACACCAGUGGCGAAGGCGACUACCUGGCCUGUUCUUGACGCUGAGGCGCGAAAGCUAGGGGAGCAAACGGG